GUGUCAGCCGCCGCGGUAAUACAGAGGGCGCGAGCGUUGUUCGGAAUCACUGGGCGUAAAGCGCGCGCAGGCGGGACGACAAGUGGGGAGUGAAAUUCCGGGGCUCAACUCCGGGCCUGCUUUCCAAACUGUCGACCUGGGGACCGGUAGAGGCCGGUGGAAUUCCCGGUGUAGCGGUGGAAUGCGUAGAGAUCGGGAAGAACACCCGUGGCGAAGGCGGCCGGCUGGGCCGGAUCCGACGCUGAGGCGCGAAAGCGUGGGGAGCAAACAGGAUUAGAUACCCCCGUAGUCC
rnacentral:rRNA from 1 species